UCCCAGAGAGCUCCCAUGGAGCCAAGACCCUAACUCUAUCAAUAUCAUCAAAUUGAAGGCUCAAACGAAGUCUAAAUUCACAAUUGAACGUGAAUUAAUGAUCACCCAAGCUAGGGGAUCAUAAGUUUGACGCUUGACGAGCUAGGUGAAAGCUUGAGAAGGAAGCGGGUCAAAUGAAUUAAGAAAGAAGGAAAAGCAUAAUCAGGAUGCAAGGUAACUUAUUUGGAAUGCCGGUCGACGAUCAAGCUCAACAAGGAACCGAACACGUUCAGGAUUAAAGCUUCCGCGUUAGGUAUCGUCGUCAUGUUUAAAAACGGCGGUAUCAAUACAAGACUUGAAAUGUUUUAAACCUUAAAACUUUUUAACAAACUCGUAUUUUCAACUGUAUAUGUAAUCGGAAAUACCCAAUCAUAGUCGAUAUUUAUAUGUAAA